AUGGUACUCCCUCCGUCCGAAAAUACUUGUCAUUAAAAUGGAUAAAGAGGGAUGUAUCUACAACUAAAAUACGUCUAGAUGCAUGUCCUUUUAUUCAUUUUGAUGACAAGUAUUUCCGGACGGAGGGAGUAUGUG
rfam:Triticum aestivum genome assembly, contig: Triticum_aestivum_CS42_TGACv1_scaffold_320924_4BL